rnacentral:rRNA from 1 species
AUGCCCCUCCAUUAUUCCUCAAGCCAGCAAGAAGCACACAAGAAGCUCAUAGCCAUCCAAAGCCUCUCCAUCUCCGAAGCUCCAACCCAACCCAGGAUGUCUUGCUGCGGAGGAAACUGCGGCUGCGGCACCGCCUGCAAGUGCGGCAACGGCUGCGGCGGCUGCAACAUGUACCCCGAGGCCGAGGCCGCCGGCACCACCCUCCUCGUCUCCGCCACCGCCACCCACAAGGCGAGCUCCGGCGGCAUGGAGAUGGCGGCCGAGAACGGCGGCUGCGGCUGCACCCAGUGCAAGUGCGGCACCAGCUGCGGCUGCUCCUGCUGCAGCUGUUAG